rnacentral:rRNA from 1 species
CCUGUAUUAGAGCUGUCCGUUGAGCAAGAAGUGAAGACACCCGGUUUAAGGCGCAACGGGACGGAGUAAGACCCCGUGAAGCUUUACUGUAGCUUAAUAUUGAUCAAAACACCACCAUGUAGAGAAUAGGUAGGAGCAAUUGAUGCAAGUUCGCAAGGAUUUGUUGAUGUGAAA